GAUGAAGAACGUAGUGAAAUGCGAUAAGUAGUGUGAAUUGCAGAAUUCAGUGAAUCAUCGAAUCUUUGAACGCACAUUGCGCCCCUUGGUAUCCCGAGGGGCAUGCCUGUUCGAGCGUCAUUUCACCACUCAAGCCUGGCUUGGUGUUGGGCGACGUCCUCUUUGGGGACGCGCCUCGAAACGCUCGGCGGCGUGGCACCGGCUUUAAGCGUAGCAGAAUCUUUCGCUUUGGAAGUCGGGGCCCCGUCUGCCGGAAGACCUGCUCGCAAGGUUGACCUCGGAUCAGACAGGGAUACCCGCUGAACUUAAGCAUAUCAAUAAGCGGAGGA
rnacentral:misc_RNA from 1 species